rnacentral:rRNA from 1 species
UACGAAGGGGGCUAGCGUUGCUCGGAAUCACUGGGCGUAAAGGGCGCGUAGGCGGCGCGGGAAGUCAGUGGUGAAAGCCCGAGGCUCAACUUCGGGUCGGCCACUGAUACUCUCGGGCUCGAGUCGACUAGAGGCAGAUGGAAUUCCGGGUGUAGCGGUGGAAUGCGUAGAUAUCGGAAGGAACGCCGGUGGCGAAAGCGACGUGCUGGACCUCUUCUGACGCUGAGGCGCGAAAGCUAGGGGAGCAAACGGG